AGUGAACGCUGGCGGUAGGCCUAACACAUGCAAGUCGAACGGCAGCACAGUAAGAGCUUGCUCUUACGGGUGGCGAGUGGCGGACGGGUGAGGAAUACAUCGGAAUCUACUUUUUCGUGGGGGAUAACGUAGGAAAACUUACGCUAAUACCGCAUACGACCUACGGGUGAAAGCAGGGGAUCUUCGGACUUUGCGCGAUUGAAUGAGCCGAUGUCGGAUUAGCUAGUUGGCGGGGUAAAGGCCCACCAAGGCGACGAUCCGUAGCUGGUCUGAGAGGAUGAUCAGCCACACUGGAACUGAGACACGGUCCAGACUCCUACGGGAGGCAGCAGUGGGGAAUAUUCGACAAAGGGCGCAAGCCUGAUCCAGCCAUACCGCGUGGGUGAAGAAGGCCUUCGGGUUGUAAAGCCCUUUUGUUGGGAAAGAAAAGCAGCAGGUUAAUCCCCCGCUGUUCUGACGGUACCCAAAGAAUAAGCACCGGCUAACUUCGUG
rnacentral:rRNA from 1 species